rnacentral:rRNA from 1 species
UACGGAGGGUGCAAGCGUUAUCCGGAUUUACUGGGUUUAAAGGGUGUGUAGGCGGACUUUUAAGUCAGCGGUGAAAUCUCCGGGCUCAACCCGGAACUGCCAUUGAUACUAUUGGUCUUGAAUGUUGUUGAGGUGGGCGGAACGGGUCAUGUAGCGGUGAAAUGCAUAGAUAUGACCCGGAACACCGAUUGCGAAGGCAGCCCACUAAGCAACUGAUUGACGCUGAGGCACGAAAGCGUGGGGAUCAAACAGG